UACGUAGGGUGCAAGCGUUAAUCGGAAUUACUGGGCGUAAAGCGUGCGCAGGCGGUGAUGUAAGACAGGUGUGAAAUCCCCGGGCUCAACCUGGGAACUGCAUUUGUGACUGCAUCGCUGGAGUGCGGCAGAGGGGGAUGGAAUUCCGCGUGUAGCAGUGAAAUGCGUAGAUAUGCGGAGGAACACCGAUGGCGCAGGCAAUCCCCUGGGCCUGCACUGACGCUCAUGCACGAAAGCGUGGGGAGCAAACAGG
rnacentral:rRNA from 1 species